UACGUAGGUGGCAAGCGUUGUCCGGAUUUACUGGGCGUAAAGAGCGCGCAGGCGGUCGUACAAGUCGCGUGUGAAAGCCCCCGGCUCAACUGGGGAGGGUCACGCGAUACUGAUCGACUCGAAGGCAGGAGAGGGUAGUGGAAUUCCCGGUGUAGUGGUGAAAUGCGUAGAUAUCGGGAGGAACACCUGUGGCGAAGGCGACUACCUGGCCUGUUCUUGACGCUGAGGCGCGAAAGCUAGGGGAGCAAACGGG
rnacentral:rRNA from 1 species